CCUACGGGAGGCUGCAGUGAGGAAUAUUGGUCAAUGGCCGUAAGUCUGAACCAGCCAAGUCGCGUGCAGGAAGACGGCUCUAUGGGUUGUAAACUUCUUUUGUACGGGGGUAAAGCCAGCUACGUGUAGCGGGUUGAAAGUAUCCUACGAAUAAGGAUCGGCUAACUCCGUGCCAGCAGCCGCGGUAAUACGGAGGAUCCGAGCGUUAUCCGGAUUUAUUGGGUUUAAAGGGUGCGUAGGUGGUUUGAUAAGUUAGGGGUGAAAGUUCGGGGCUCAACCCUGAAACUGCCUUUAAUACUGGUGGACUAGAGUGUGUUUGAGGUAGGCGGAAUGUGUGGUGUAGCGGUGAAAUGCUUAGAGAUCAUGCAGAACACCGAUUGCGAAGGCAGCUUACCAAACUAUAACUGACGCUGAAGCACGAAAGCGUGGGUAGCAAACAGGAUUAGAUACCCCGGUAGUC
rnacentral:rRNA from 1 species